CACGAGGCGAGCGAAACGCGAGAAGCAGCUCCCUGGUUGUCCCUGGUUCCUGCUGGCCUCGACAGAGCGACCGUUUCGUUGACCUGCAGUGGUGUUUUGGCUGAGUAUCGGGUGGUUUAAGUGGCGUCAGCACCAUUCCAGUGGCGCUUGUGCUUACCAAUGGAGGUUCCAUCAGGAUCACGAAUCCACAGGCUGUCCAGAAGGCUCUUAAGGCCACGUCCAACCACUUCCAGAUCAUCACUGAUGUGCGAGCGUUCAGACGGGGAGUAUAGUGUGUCGUUCACCCGACCAGACCUGUGUAGAAGACCUCUUGAAAUGCACUUCAUUCGCUUCCACCCCGCUUGUUACGAACGGCCUGCAAGGGUACCGGCCUACAAAAUUUUCCACCCAGCUGCAGCUGCGGAGGUAACGAGCUUCCCAGCAGCGACCUCGGAACCCUUCCCGAUCUCCUGCGGCGACUUGUUUUGUAGGGACGACAAUGUGCCACGUAAACGCCCCCUCGGUGCAGCUAGAAUAGACGCGGUCGGCAGACCAACUAUUCUUAGUGGAUUCGCCGUCACCGACACGGCUUGUUUGAAGCGGUGGAAAUCCUGGGAGAAGAUGUUUUGCGGCCGUUUCACGGGGUUUAGCAGUCAUGGACAGACGCGGCGGCCAUUGUCUGCGGAGUCAACACAGGGAUGAAGAGGCACCUGCUUGGGUCAACCACCGUGUCUGCGAGAGCCCUCUCACCUUGGUGUGGUCAGUGCAACCUGUGCAGAAGUAAGUGCGUAAACCCUCUCCCUGAAAGGCGGUUCGGCUACGAUGUCUUUGGACGCUCCGAAUUGGUCGACGGUGAACUGCCGUUUUUCCCACACCUAGGGUUCUCGGGAGGAGAGAGUGUAUUUAAGGAGGCUGCUCCUCAGGGUGCAUUCCUCUUUCAGUCAUAUUAGAUUGAUGAACUGUAACGUUCUCAUGUAAAUACCGUA